rnacentral:lncRNA from 1 species
CCUACAGCCCUUGCUGAAGCCCAGGCAGUGCCACGAGGCAGAACUGCUUUCUGUUUGAGGCGUCAGCAGCUGUUGCCUCCAAGUGCUCAGCCGAUGGCAUGGCUUUUCUUGAAACCUCCACUCACUGCAAGCAUGCUCUACUGUCUAUGUAUAUGUAGUUGCUGAAGUUUACCAAGUAACUCACUGUAUUCAAUGAAUAAAUGUACAGCCAGACAAAUGUCCCUUUUAACAUGCAUUCAAUUACACAUUUAAUCAAUUUUGUAUUUAUUUAAUUCUUCUUGUCUCACUGCAGAGAUGCUGUGUGCAAGCAGCAAAGCAUUCCUGCUCCUACACUGAAAUCCAGAUGUAGGACCCAACAGGAUGGUACAGGAGCUGAGUGUUUCUCCAGAGCCAACUGAGAGUUCAGCAGUUUGCAAGUACACGUGAAGAAGCAGCAGCAUGGUGGAUAUGAGGGAGGAGGGCCGAAGGCAAGAUGGCAACAGUUAAAUGUGUGGUUUGAGUGAGUUCAGCAUUAAUUUAGGAGAUUGUGGUCAUUUCAGACAGAGAGAGAAAGAAAAAAGAGUGUCUAUGUGUGGCAGA